UCGAAAUCGGUAGACGCUACGGACUUAAAUAAUUUGAGCCUUAGUAGAAAAACUUACUAAAUGCUAGCUUUCAGAUUCAGGGAAACUUAAGUUGAAAAAAGUAUAAGCAAUCCUGAGCCAAAUUUUAUCUUAAAAAUGAGAUAGGUGCAGAGACUCGAUGGAAGCUGUCCUAACGCAAAAAGUUUUAACAUUUAUUUAAUCUAAUUUUAUGAGUUGAUAUAAAUAAAAAAAAUAUUAUUUAUUUAAAUAAUAAGCGAGGAUAAAGAUAGAGUCCAAAUUUACAUGUUAGUUCUAGCAACAAUUUAAAUUGUAGUAAGAAGAAAAUCCGUUGGCUUUAUUGACCGUGAGGGUUCAAGUCCCUCUACCCCCAAAACUAGAAUUUUUUUCUAUUGACACAAGCUUCGAGUUUAUGUUAAGAUGGCCCAAAUAAAAGAAAGCCGGAAUAGCUCAGUUGGUAGAGCAGAGGACUGAAAAUCCUCGUGUCAC
rnacentral:ncRNA from 2 species